rnacentral:rRNA from 1 species
UACUACAGCCAUACCACCCUGAACAAGCCCAAUCCCGUCUGAUCUCAGAAGCUAAGCAGGUUUGGGUCUGGUUAGUACUUGGAUGGGAGACCACCUAGGAAGACCAGGUGUUGUAGACA